rnacentral:rRNA from 1 species
UACGUAGGGUGCGAGCGUUAAUCGGAAUUACUGGGCGUAAAGUGUGCGCAGGCGGCUCUGCAAGUCGAGUGUGAAAUCCCCGAGCUUAACUUGGGAAUUGCGCUCGAAACUAUGGAGCUGGAGUGUGGCAGAGGAAGGUGGAAUUCCGACGUGUAGCGGUGAAAUGCGUAGAUAUCAGGAGGAACACCGGUGGUGUAGACGGCUUUCUGGACCGUAACUGACGCUGAGACACGAAAGCGUGGGUAGCAAACAGG